CGGGACAGGUGAGUAAUGCUUGGGAAUCUGGCUUAUGGAGGGGGAUAACGACGGGAAACUGUCGCUAAUACCGCGUAGAAUCGAGAGAUGAAAGUGCGGGACCGCAAGGCCGCAUGCCAUAGGAUGAGCCCAAGUGGGAUUAGGUAGUUGGUGGGGUAAAGGCCUACCAAGCCGACGAUCUCUAGCUGGUCUGAGAGGAUGACCAGCCACACCGGGACUGAGGCACGGCCCGG
rnacentral:rRNA from 1 species